rnacentral:misc_RNA from 1 species
CUGCGCAGCAGCAGAGAGGAGGCAUCGGCAGAGGGCUCACGGCCGGGAGAGGAGCACAGGGGCGCCCUGUGCUGCGGAGAUGAAGGGCGCAGCUUCCGGCAACCCAACGACAUGGAGAACAGGGAGGGCGUGGCUGGAGGAAAGGGGCGAGCUGCUUGUGACCAUGGGGGGAGAAGAAAGGGCGCCGUCGAGGGAGCUUCAACAGUGGAGCGCUCGGCUGCUGGGCUGCUCACCGUGGACAGCAGAGGAAGGCAGAUGCAGUGGAGAAAGGGCGCUCAAAACUGCUGGCCGGAGCUAGGGCUCGGCCAUGGGAAAGAAGGGGGAAGGAGGAAGGGGAGCUGGCUGGUGGAGAUGGGAGAGCUCGGCUCCAAGCAGAUGUGGAGCUCGCCAUUUGGAGUAGUGGCAGGGGGCGUCCAUGGCUGCUGGCCAAGUAGAGGCGUCGGCAUGCUCCCAAGGAGCUUCUGCUCCUGCGCGCACGAAGCAGAGAAGGAGGAAGAUGGUCUGCUGCUGGAGGAAGAAGAAGAGGGGCAGGGGGCACCGCGCCAUUGCUGGCCGAGGGGAGGAAGGGCGCUGCUGCUGGGCGCCAGCCAGAGGUGGAAGAAGGGCUCGGCAGCCAUGGGAGGAAGAGAGUUCCUGCGCGCUGAACAGAGAAAGGAGCUGUGCGUGAGAGAAUGA